UACAGAGGUCCCAAGCGUUGUUCGGAUUCAUUGGGCGUAAAGGGUGCGCAGGCGGCUUCUCAAGUCAGGGGUGAAAGCCCAGAGCUCAACUCUGGAACUGCCUUUGAGACUGAGAGGCUUGAGUACGGGAGAGGUGAGUGGAAUUCCCAGUGUAGAGGUGAAAUUCGUAGAUAUUGGGAAGAACACCGGUGGCGAAGGCGGCUCACUGGCCCGUAACUGACGCUCAUGCACGACAGCGUGGGGAGCAAACAGG
rnacentral:rRNA from 1 species